AUGCCGCGCGCCCCGGAGGCUGCGCGGACGCAGCGGAAGGGCGGCCGGCCGGGCUCGCGGCGCCGAGAGGCCCCAGGCGGGCGGUGGGGCCGGGCGGAGGUGGUCAGUAGGUGUGAGAUCUGCCUACAUGAAGCCGAGAAGUACCAGGAAGGAAAACGAAGUAGUGUAAGGGAAUAGAAACCGGAAGUACUGUUUUAACCAGGGUAGUAAGGGAGCGGGUGGCAGUGAAGAGAGAAAACAGCUCUAUUGGUGAGAAAGCGCUUUGCUGGGAAAGGGAGCAAAGGGCAAAGGCCCUGAGGGAGGAGCCUUUCCAUAAAGCUCAAAACGUCCGCUUUGUGGAGCCAGGUGUGCCAGACGGAGUCUGAGAGGUAGCCAGGGGCUAGGUCCUGUUGGAUUUUAUUCAACGAAAUUUAGGAAGAACUUAAAGGAUAUUAGAGGAAUGAUGGGAUAUGUCUUAAGAUUUUAAAAGAUCCCUCUGAUUGCUGAUUGUGAAUAGACCAGAGAGGAGUCUUGGGGAUCGGGAGGUUGUAAGGGUGGGAGCAGAGACCAGGUAGGAGGUAACUGUAGGUGAUGAAUAGGAUGCCAGUGUGGCUAAGGUGAAAUGAUCUAGGGAAAGAAUGAUAGCCACGGGGCAGAUCUGACAGGGCCUUGUAGAUCACGGAAUUCUUUGAAGAGUUGGGAGGCCCUGGGAAGAGUAACGUGGUCCCGCUUAAGUGUUACAAGGAAUACUCAAGUUGCUGUGUGAAUAGACUUAGAGGGGCAAGCACGGAAGCAGGCAGAGAGUGCAGUUACUGGGCUGGAGAGAGGAUGGAUUAGACUGGAGGUGGAGGAGGUAGUGGAAUUUGGGCUCUAAUUUGAAGGUAGAGCCACAGGUCUUGCUAACGGAAUAUGGAGUAUGAGUGAAAGAAUGGUGGUGCUGUUUACUGAGCUGGGGAACGCGGUGGGAGGAGCAAAUCUGGCACAGCUGUGGUUUGGAGCAAGUCAAGUGUCGACUGUCUAGGAGACACCAGUGGGUGUUGAGUGGACUGUUGACCAUUCCAGCUUGGAGUUCAGGCCGGAGCAGUGAAAUUACAAGCCACCAUUGUCUAGGUGGUAUUAAAACCAUGAACAUAGCUGGGAGGAGAGUACAGGUAAGAGUAGAAAGAUCUAAGGACCACGACCUGGAGUACUCCCACAUUUUUAGAUGGACAAAAGAAGGAAAAUCCAGCUUAGGAAACUGGAAGUAAGUGGCUGUUGAGUAAGAGGAAAACCAAGAGAUUGUGUAUCCAUAAAGCCAAUCGAAGAAAGUCUUUUUGAAAGAAGCUGAUCACCUGGGUUGAAUACUGCUGAGAAGUGGGGUUGGAUUGACCUCCUACUCACUAGUGGUGUGACCUCAAGCAAAGCAGAUGCUCUCCCUGAACCACUGUUCCCUCACUUGCAGAGAUGGGCAGUCUCGGGGUUGUUAGGAGAUGUGAAAGUGCCUGGCACGUUAAAGUCAAAGUCGUACCCCCAUCCAGCCAGCACUGUGCCCCUCACAGGUCAGCCUUGAACGUCAAAGGGGAUGAAAGUGAGAAGGCUCUGUGUGUGCUGUGCAGAGCCCGUAAACUGAAGUCUCUGUUCUGCUGCAAGGCCUUGUCACCCCAAAUCAACUUUGAAUUCAAAGCUCAUAUGGAAGGAGUCUGGAAAAUUAAAGCUCCAGACUUGCUCCUGAACACUGGUAGAGACCGGAUGCAAGACUACAAGGCCCCAGAUGAGCAUGUGACCUGAACUGGGUGUGACUUGAUCCACCAAGCCACAUGCACCGUCAGUAGGAAGUUGAUGUGUACGAUGCCAGUAGCCUUGAGCAGGUCCCAGGAGCACAAAAAAAAUCAUCGGCUGAUACCUGAUUUUAGCUUGGAGAUGUGGUAAUCAUGGAAGCAGGAGUCCAGUUAAGAGACAGUUUGGGCAAAAAUUGCUGGUGUUUCUGAAUGGCAUGGUAGCACUGGAGGUACAGAAACCUGGAGGGAUUUGGGAACUGUUCGAUGGUGAAAUCAAUAGGAUUUAGUGAUAGACUGGAUGUGAGUGAGGAGGAAGGAAGAAAUCAAGAAUGGUUCCUUGGUUGUGGGUUAGAGGAAAUGGUGGUGCCCAUUUCUGGGAUGGAAAGAAUGGAGAAGGAGCAGUUUGGGAACCAGAGGUGUCGAGAGUUCCUUUGAGGGCAUGGGUGGCUGGGAGACAACCAGAUGGAAGGAAAGGCGGCUACACCGUGGACCCCAAGUUUGGGGCGCAGGGGAGACUGCAGGGCUGGGGAGGGAAGUAGGAGUGUCGGUACCAGAUGGGUGACUUGCAGAGCCCUGAGACUGGUCAGGCGACUGAGGGAAGAUAGUCGCUGGAGAAGGAGGUCCAAGGAGCCAGCCUACCUGGUUAUUCCAUGCAGGGGACCAGAAGGGGGAGGGGUCAGUAAAGCUCCUGGGGAGACUGUGCCCAAGUGUGGAAGUCACAGGAGACCCAGGAGCCAGGGCUCCUCCAUGACCCUGUGCUUUGGGGCUGGUACUCUGCUACUGCAGGGAGGCAGCAGGGCAGCACUCUCCUUAGCCUCGGGGUUGGGAACUCCCAGCCCCCAUGCAGCCCACUUCCGGCCCACUGCUGUCCACCAGGCCCCACUGUGUCCCUUCUUCAUGCCCCUCCUCCCCCUUGAAGGCUUUCCCACAUGUGCCCGCCCUCCGCUGGAUGACCCCGGGCUUGCCCUCCUGUGUGGUCCUUGUCCAGGUGGUGGGGCCUGAGAGCGCUUGAAGACCACCAGUGUGUGCUUUGUUCACCUUCACUUCCCCAGUGCCCAGUAUGGAGCCUGGAACAUGCUGCUCUGGGUGGAGAUAUUAAGGGGUAUUUUUAAAAUUAUUUUUUCAUUAAUGGUCUAAUUUUUAUAUCCUGGCUAUAUAUUAUUUGUGUAAUUGUUAAAAAGAACAAGAUUAAAAACACCCAGAGAAGUGGAAGUGGAAUAAAUGUUGGUUUGGAAAUGAUAACCAAAUAACAAAAGCUAAAUGCAUCCAUUCACAUCAUUCACAUGUGACGAUGGAUUGAGUACCCUUGGUGGGCAGCACUGGUCCGGGAGCUGAGGACGUGCACUCUGCAAGAAGAGGCCUGGUCAAGUGGCACCCAGUGUUGGAGAGGGUGCUGCAGCUGCUGCCCUCACUUGCUGCUGCUGCUAAAGUUAUCUGGACAUGUUGGAAAACAGGGUGGCAAUUCUUAAGAAGUUGUACAUGUUAUUUCUCCUAGUGUUUACCCAAAGAAACAAAUGCUUAUGUCCACACAGACAAUUGUCCCUCCAUGUCCCUAUCAGCUUUAUUCAUAAUGACUAAAGAUGGAAACAACCCAGAUGCCCACGAACAGAUGGAAGUAACAAAUGGUGGCACGUCCACACAAGGGACUUAGCAAUAAACAAAGGAUCACUGAGACACACUGCAACCUGGAUGAACCUCAGAGGCAUUACAGCAAAUGAAAGAAGCCAGACACAGCAGAGGACAUGCUGCGCAACUCCAUUUAUGUGAAAUUCUAGAUCAGGCAAAGCUAAUCUACAGUGACAGAGGACAGAUCCCUGGAUGCCUGCCAGGGUGGGGAUGGGGCUGACUACAGGGGACAUGGUGGGGACUCUCUGUAUCUUGAUGGGAUGGUUGGUCACAAGGGUGUGUACAUUUGCCAAAACUCAUUAAACUGUACACUUGAAAUGGAUGCCUGUUAUGGUAUGAAAUUAUAUCAUGAUGAAGGUGAUUUUUUUAAAAAAAUGAAAGACACUGUCCCUGAUGGAGCCAGUGGGGGUGAGAGAUGGAAUUCAAGGAACAGCAGAAAUGCACGCAGGGUCACAGACUGUGGUAAGUGUCCUGAAGAAAAUGCACAGGGGCUCAGAAGGCACCUCGCAGAGGAGCCCUGGGAAGCAAGAGGCCAGGACUGCUUGGGGGAGGCAAGGUGAGUUUCACAGCAGACAUGAAAUCUGA